UGGCGGCAGGCCUAACACAUGCAAGUCGAGCGGCAGCACAGCAGUAGCAAUACUGUGGGUGGCGAGCGGCGGACGGGUGAGGAAUGCAUCGGAAUCUGCCUCGUUGUGGGGGAUAACGUAGGGAAACUUACGCUAAUACCGCAUACGACCUACGGGUGAAAGUGGGGGACCGCAAGGCCUCACGCGAUGAGAUGAGCCGAUGCCGGAUUAGCUAGUUGGCGGGGUAAAGGCCCACCAAGGCGACGAUCCGUAGCUGGUCUGAGAGGAUGAUCAGCCACACUGGAACUGAGACACGGUCCAGACUCCUACGGGAGGCAGCAGUGGGGAAUAUUGGACAAUGGGGGCAACCCUGAUCCAGCCAUGCCGCGUGUGUGAAGAAGGCCUUCGGGUUGUAAAGCACUUUUGUUGGGGAAGAAACCGGCCGGAUUAAUACUCCGGUUGAAUGACGGUACCCAAAGAAUAAGCACCGGCUAACUUCGUGCCAGCAGCCGCGGUAAUACGAAGGGGGCUAGCGUUGCUCGGAAUUACUGGGCGUAAAGCGUGCGUAGGCGGUUGAUUAA
rnacentral:rRNA from 1 species